GUGUCAGCAGCCGCGGUAAGACGAAGGAUGCAAGCGUUAUCCGGAUUCAUUGGGUUUAAAGGGAGCGUAGGUGGCCUUAUAAGUCAGUGGUGAAAUCUCUGGGCUUAACCCAGAAAUUGCCAUUGAUACUGUAGGGCUUGAGUAUAGAUGCCGUUGGCGGAAUAUGACAUGUAGUGGUGAAAUACAUAGAGAUGUCAUAGAACACCGAUUGCGAAGGCAGCUAACGAAACUAUAACUGACACUGAGGCUCGAAAGUGUGGGGAUCAAACAGGAUUAGAAACCCCGGUAGUCC
rnacentral:rRNA from 1 species